AGCUCAGGAGCAGGACACAUGACCAGUCAGGUGGUGAGACCAGUGACAGUUGGGAGAAAGUGUUGGUUGGUGAGAGCUGAGCUGAGGUAAUCUUGAGAGGAGAGCUAUGCCAUCAAGUGUGUGCUGAGGUGGCGUGGGGGUGAUGGAGGAGAUGGAGGCAGACCUUCCUACCACAAUGGUGGUCAGAGAGAUGGCUUUACCCCCAUGAAAGGAGCACUCAUGCAUCAUACUCAUCAAGGACAGAUCCUGAAACACCAAGAUCCUUCCACAACACCGUGCAGACACCACCAUCUUGGACUUUGCGUCAACCGGUGCCUGACAUCACAAAAAGGCACACUAGUUCUGCAUGUAAAUGUAAUAUAAAUUAAUCUGAGCUCAGUGGAAGUUGAAUACUACUACUUGUGCAACUUUGAUCCAAA